rnacentral:lncRNA from 1 species
AGGGAGGCAAAAUAUCAUCUACCUGCCCUACCUACUUCCAUUGCUACUCAUGAAAUGAAUGGAAAGAAGGGUGUUGUUGCUAAUAAGGCACCAAUGAAAGAGGCAUGAAUACUACAAGACAAACUUGAGUGUCAUCUCAAAGACUCUCAUCAACUACGAAAGGAUUGAGAACAACCCGUCCCUGACCUUGAGAAUUACGGUCCUGGUGGACUGCUGCAUUUCAUGCCCACUCUUGUACCAAGAGGAGCUAAAGAAGGCUUUAUGUCUGUUCCUCCAAAAAUUGCAGGAAGGAGUAUAUAUCCUACAAGAGUGAUAGGAAGGCCAG